rnacentral:rRNA from 1 species
GACGAACGCUGGCGGCGUGCUUAACACAUGCAAGUCGAACGAAGAGCGAUGGAAGCUUGCUUCUAUCAAUCUUAGUGGCGAACGGGUGAGUAACGCGUAAUCAACCUGCCCUUCAGAGGGGGACAACAGUUGGAAACGACUGCUAAUACCGCAUACGAUCUAAUCUCGGCAUCGAGGAAAGAUGAAAGGUGGCCUCUAUUUAUAAGCUAUCACUGAAGGAGGGGAUUGCGUCUGAUUAGCUAGUUGGAGGGGUAACGGACCACCAAGGCGAUGAUCAGUAGCCGGUCUGAGAGGAUGAACGGCCACAUUGGGACUGAGACACGGCCCAGACUCCUACGGGAGGCAGCAGUGGGGAAUCUUCCGCAAUGGACGAAAGUCUGACGGAGCAACGCCGCGUGAGUGAUGACGGCCUUCGGGUUGUAAAGCUCUGUUAAUCGGGACGAAAGGCCUUCUUGCGAACAGUUAGAAGGAUUGACGGUACCGGAAUAGAAAGCCACGGCUAACUACGUG